UUUCCUACGGGGGGCAGCAGUGGGGAAUAUUGCACAAUGGGGGGAACCCUGAUGCAGCGACGCCGCGUGGGUGAAGGAGUAUUUCGAUAUGUAAAGCCCUAUCAGCAGGGAAGAACAAUGACGGUACCUGACUAAGAAGCACCGGCUAAAUACGUGCCAGCAGCCGCGGUAAUACGUAUGGUGCAAGCGUUAUCCGGAUUUACUGGGUGUAAAGGGAGCGUAGACGGCCAGACAAGUCUGAAGUGAAACUCCAGCGCUUAACGUUGGAAGUGCUUUGGAAACUGCCGGGCUAGAGUGCAGGAGGG
rnacentral:rRNA from 1 species